rnacentral:rRNA from 1 species
UAGUAACGGCGAGUGAAGCGGCAACAGCUCAAAUUUGAAAUCUGGCUUCGGCCCGAGUUGUAAUUUGCAGAGGAUGCUUCUGGCGCGGUGCCUUCCGAGUUCCCUGGAACGGGACGCCACAGAGGGUGAGAGCCCCGUAUGGUCGGACACCAAGCCUGUGUGAAGCUCCUUCGACGAGUCGAGUAGUUUGGGAAUGCUGCUCUAAAUGGGAGGUAAAUCUCUUCUAAAGCUAAAUACCGGCCAGAGACCGAUAGCGCACAAGUAGAGUGAUCGAAAGAUGAAAAGCACCUUGAAAAGGGGGUUAAAUAGUACGUGAAAUUGUUGAAAGGGAAGCGUUUAUGACCAGACUUGCGCCGGGCGGCUCAUCAGGGGUUCUCCCCUGUGCAUUCCGCCCGGCUCAGGCCAGCAUCGGUUCUCGUGGGGGGAUAAGACCGUCGGGAACGUAGCACCCUCCGGGGUGUGUUAUAGCCCGGCGGACGAUACCCUCGUGGGGACCGAGGUUCGCGCUCCGCAAGGAUGCUGGCGUAAUGGUCAUCAGCGACCCGUCUUGAAACACGGACCAAGGAGUCGUCCAUUAGAGCGAGCGUUUGGGUGUAAAACCCGCACGCGUAAUGAAAGUGAACGCAGGUGAGAGCUUCGGCGCAUCAUCGACCGAUCCUGAUGUUCUCGGAAGGAUUUGAGUAAGAGUUUUAACGGACGGACCCGAAAGACAGUGAACUAUGCUUGUAUAGGGUGAAGCCAGAGGAAACUCUGGUGGAGGCUCGCAGCGGUUCUGACGUGCAAAUCGAUCGUCAAAUAUGAGCAUGGGGGCGAAAGACUAAUCGAACU